GCCUUAUCUUAAACUUGCUUGGGCUUCUUUCCCGACUUCCUCAAAACACCAUCAUCACGUAGAGUAGCAACAGACAAAGAGCCGUGGCCUGGAAAUCAUAAAUAUGAAGUUAGUCCCCGCCUUUGCAUUGUAUAGUUCUGCUUUGGCCAAGUCACUUCAAUUGUCUAUGCCUCAGUUUACUCAUCUGUAAACCUGGGUAGGUAACAGCUGGCAAAUAACCAUGCUUUUCCACCAUGUCCUCUCUGUUACCUGUGGCAGAUAUCACAAACUGAUAAGUGCUUUGCUGGCCUUAAAAUUCUUCUCCACACAGAAAAACCCUACAAUGAAUCAGAGUUGGCAUUGAAGAUGAAAUGCUUCUGCCGUUCCUGUGCUGUGAGAUGUUUAAAGCCCAAAGUCAACAGAGCGAGCCUUCAUGUCUUUAUGCAUAAGCAUGGAAUAUAUUUCUUGGUUGUCGAAUAUGAUAUAUUAGAAAUUAUUUUUACUGUCAAUAUUUUCCUCAUAGCUAAACAUUUGCCCAUAGAGAUUCAUUUUUAAAAUUUUAAAUCAGUUCAUUAUACCAAGAAGUGCUAUUGGAAAACUAUAAAGGUCAUAGAGACCAGAGUUUCCCUGCGUCAGAGUCAAAUCAGGAAAGAGAAACCGUACUGUAAUGUGAAUGUGAAAUUUUAAUAACAAUCAUUAAUUAUAAUAGGAUUGGAGUAUUGAGGGAUUGCCUACUAAAAAUGAAGAGAAUAAAUUUUUAAAAACCACAGGAAUAACAUGUAAGGAGCAGCCACUACCCCUAGGGCUGUGAGCGUACCCAAAGAAGAGCCCAACUCCCCCCACCCAAGCUUCUGGAGAGGGCACACUGAUGGCUCACUGGAUGGCACAGAAGUCACUGGGGGACCGCAUUGGUGGAACGUGCUGGAAAUCCACCCUCUAACCCCUGCCCGAAAUCCUGUCUCCAGGGGGCUGGGGAAGGCUACUCCUAGAAAGGUGUCUUGUGGAAGGGACUCAGCCAUGAAACUGCUUGAGCUGCCUGAUGGGGUACAGGUGAGACUCCGGCUGCUGGACGCUGCCGAUCACCCUACAGUGGGGCCAAAAGCUAGGGAAGCUGCCCAUGCUCCAGGCAGUAGGUGCCAGGGAAGCCGUGGACCUGCGGCGACCUGCUAAGAGCACACCACGACCGGAGGAGCCACUUCACCCUCUGGCACCCUCUACUGACAGCUUAAUGUCGUGGCAGCUGGCAAAACAGAAACAGUUAAAAGAUCGAACUCCCACGCCGCGGUGCAGGCAAUGGAAGAUGCGUUUGCAGCCGAGAGGCAAACUGAUAACUGGUCUGUUCCUCUUUCCAAAGGACUCUUUGGUGUUAGCUGUUGUGUGCAACGGAGAAGUAAAUUCUCAACCCUUCUCUCUGUGGACUUAGCUUGGCUAGGCUUGGGUUACUUCUGCCUUGCCCUUAGAGAUCAGAACAAAAUUUGGCAAGUGAGACUACUCCGUGGUUUCUGAGUUGGCUUAAUUUCUCAAUAUUAUACCAGUGUCAAGAUUCACUGUUGCUAGAACUAAUGCUUUUAAAAAUUAAGUAUGUCAUGAUUUGGAAAUUUGCUAUCACAGAAAUAUAUCAUGAUAGGUUAAAACGACCUUGUCUCCAAACACUUUCCAGGUACAAAAGUAAACAACUAGAACUAUACAUGGGAAUGGAAGACAAGAGUUAGUGAAUGAAGAUAUGAAAGUGCUUUGAAAGCAAGCUGGGAGGUUUUGAUGACAACCUUUUAGCCAUUCGAAUCUUAAAGAAAUCCAGAAGGAUACGUGCUGAAGAUCUAGAACUUGUUGUGGGGCGGGCCCGAUGAAGACUUGCCACAGAACAAAAGGAAAUGGCGGGUUACUGACCUGCCCUUCGGAGAGGUUCCAGAGCAAUCUUCGGGGAUUGCCCUAUGGAGCACCUGACUGGAAACUUGAAUGUGAAGCUGUGCUUGGUGAUCUCCCAAACAGAGUGUCUGGUGGACCCUGAUGAAUCAGCAAAUCUGGUGAUUUCCUGCCCUUAGAACGCUGUGAAAUUGAAGAAGAGUGAGAUGGGAGUCCUGCUGAGCUCAAAACUUCUGAUACAUUGAGUUUAGGAUUGUCUCUUCUGUCAGGGAACCUUAUUCAUGGAGUAUGUGGUUUGACUACCUGAACAACUCUGCUGGCAGACGCCAUCUUGAUGCCCCUGAUGGUUUCAUUUUAAAACAUUAAUCCCACUGGUAUCUACUGAAUUACCUACGAAAUGUGUGACACUUGCCUCCACACUACAGAAAUGAAAUGUGGCUUGAGAUGUCUCCCUGCUGAAGAGGGAGCAGACAGGGAUGGGUAUAGGUGACCCUGAGGACUUGCCACCUGACAUCCACAAGGUUGCUUAUGGGAUGAUGAAGGAAGUUCAAUGUUAAGUGUUAGAAAGAAACAUGUUUUCUACUUUUAUAAUUAAAAAACUCUUCUUAAGAGCAGGGCUUUUCUUCCUGGUGUUUCUUUCUGUGUAAGAAACAAGUAAAAUUCUCACUUGCCUAACAGCAGGAUACAUUUAACAACCCUCAACAUCCUUCUAAGGAAGAGCCUCCCAGGCAAAUAUUUUCUGUGAGGCUUCUGAGGUGGUUUCUUUCCCCCUUGGGCUUGGGCCAGCCAUCUGUUAAUUGUGGGUCUGGUUUCUUUCUUGCCUUCUGUCACCCCCAACUCAGUGGGCCUGGCCACAAAAGGAAGUCAACAUUGACCACACAAAGACACCCUCUGUCGUCAACUCCACCGAGGCUGGCUGCACUGCUGUUAUCAUUUGUUCUGUACUUCAGGGGACCCUACGUCGGUUGGGACUCAGUGCCAAAGAAUCUCUACUUCUGGAGAAUGUGGUGGUGAUGUCCUUGUGUAAUUUCUCCUCCGGAAUACAAGACCACUCACUGUAUCAAGUACUGUACUUCUCAGAGGCAUCUUUCUCUGCAAAAUUGGGAACCUCAUGGGAGGAAACAAUAUUUUUAGCUGAACGAACUGUUUGAAUCUAGGUUAGUGUGAUCCAAAAUUGUACGAAAUCCACGCCAGCCUAUUUUCUUUGCCUCCAUCAAUAAAUUUAGAAAGUGCAGAUUAGUGUAA